GACCCAGUGAAGGGCCAGGCGUGGCCCUACAGUGAGGAGCUGCAGGUCUUUUCUCUCCUUGUCAAGGGAUAAUCCCCUCAAGGCCCCAAACACACCAUAGUGCAAAGCCCAAACCCAGGAGGCUUGGGAGUCCCCAGUUCCUUCCUUCUGGGAUCAGGAGAACCCCAAAAGGGCUAGUUGGGGUGCUGUGCUUUCCCUGAGAUACUAGCCCCUUCCUUCGUCUCUCCCUGGGUUGUACUCAAGCCCCUGCUGCCACAGCCACUAGGUUACUGCUCCCUGCCCCAGGGCUAGCGCUUGCCCACAGAACUCUGCUAGAUGGCUGAAGGGCCACCCAAAGACUCCAUCCCCACUUCUGCUGAGGGGGCCACAGCAUCCCCUGCCUUUCUGCAGCUCCCAGAUACGGGAUCUCAUGAACUCCUGGAUUUAAGCAGUCUUCCCACCUGGGCCUCCCAAAGUGCUGGAAUUACAGGCAUGAGCCACCACACCUGGCCUCCACCCUUUCCCGGUCCUUCACGGUCCAGGGUCAUUUCUGCAGUGGUGUCUCCAGCUAGUCACGCCUCCCGCUUUGCUCCAGCUUCACACUUGGCCUUGCUGCCCAUGCCCUCUGUGCAGACUGUUUCCCCCCCUCUGUGAGAGUGCGUGUGCUCCACCAGGCAUGGGGCCCCUGAGUGGUCCUCCCUGCCUCUGACGGCCAACUGGCAGGGAGUGAAUGUCCUUGCAGACAGGCUGUCUGAGACCCUGUACUUUGUAGUUGGUUAGCAAAUGCCUAAGUGACAGGUGUUUCCAUAACCACUAGCUUUAAAAAAAAAAAAAUUCCCCCAACAGCCUGGAAGUGUACACAGCAGAUGGCAUGAUCCCUAUUUUAGAGACAAGGAAACCAAAAUGAUACAACUUCCCCAGGGUUCCCAUGCCAGGCAGGGGCUCAGCCAAGCUCUGAAGGGAAUAAAACAAGUCUAACUCCUUGUACAUCCCAAUGGCUCCUGGACAUCUCCAACUGCAUAUCAUCCUUGCAGCCUCAAUUAAAGGGGGCCAAAACAAAGUUCUGAUCCACCAAGGCCCUCUCCUCCCUUAAUUUGCUUAAAUCACAAACCUGGGAGUGAUGCUGCCUUCCUCUCUCUCCCUUAUUCCACCCCCAGGUCUUGCUGGAUCUACCUCCAGAACAUCCAGAACUGGUCCCUUUUCUCCACCGUCAUAGCCACCCCUUAAUUCCAAGCACCGGCUCUCAUUUGAAUUCCAGCAGUGGCUUCCUAACCACUCACUGGAGAGUGAUUCCAUCCUCGACCCACUGAGGUUUAUUCUCCACAUCUCAGCCAGAGAGAGUUUUUAGAAACUCAAGUCAGACUGUGUUGCCUGCCUGCUUAAAGCCCUCCAGAGGCUUUCUGAUUUCCUGAGAAUAAAACCCAAACCAACCAG